AAACACACAUUAAAUGAUUACGCAUGUUUGAUUUUUUUUUGUAUUUUGAACGGUUGGAACAAAACAAAGUUUUGGAAAGACAUAACACAAGGUGAAGGUGUAGAAGAAGAAACAUACUUAGCUACUCACUCUUCUGACAAUCCCACUAAAAAGUCUUACAGGCUAACUGGUAGCUACAGAAGUGCUUUUCAAAAACACUGAGCUUUAAAAUGAAGAACGAAGUGUACCAGCCAACUGCUACCGAUAAUUUAACAUCAGCUGAAGAUGGUGAAAAUGAGACUUAUGUUCCAGCACAGUCAAUAUCUCUUCUUUGGAAAAUGGUCAUAGCAAUAUUACUUCUUCUUUCAAUUAUUCUUAUGAUUUCCUUAAUUGUUGUGUCUAAGAAAUUGAAGAAUCAAGAUGACUGUCCUGUUUGUAUAUCAUGCAGCACCAUAGCAACAACAACAAUGCAAAGUAUUACCACUGCUAACACAACAACAGGUUAAUAAAGGUGUAUUGGAUUCUUCUUUUAACUGUCAAUUAACCAUGAAUUGGUAACAAAACGUCUUUUUGAACAUUUUUGUAUAUAUAAACUUUUUUUUUAGAGCUCUUAAAUAAAAUGGCAGGUUUCUCUUUAAAAUUUUCUCACUGUAAUUUUUUUUUGACCAUCCUUUUUUUAAUUUCCUUUAAUAAGUAAAUCUUCUAAAAUUUUAAUUUUGUUGUAAUUUUCUUUCUUCUUUCGGCUAUAACUAAACUUGAUUUAUAAUUUGAAAUCUUUUAUAAUCUGCAGUGUUAAAAUUAAGUAAACACCAAAAAGGUUUCAGACUUGUAUUCUAAUUUCCUACUUUGUCAUGAAGAGAAAGAUGUAUAUAUUAUUUUUACUUUAUUUUUAUUUUUUAAAUGAAAACCUUAUCAUGAUCAGAAUACUGGCAAUGAAUUUGCACAUGUAUUAGUGAUGCACUUUUUUAUAUGAGAGUUUUUUAUAAGGAGCUGAGGCUCUGUGUUAAAAUUCUUAAGGGAAUGUUAUUGAGAAACAAUGAGGCUCAAAUGAUUCAUGAUUGAGUCUAAAAAGGAAAUUCAACUAUUUUAUUUUUAUUUAUGAUAUAAAUCAAAGGUAGGCUCUGGAUUUGAAGUGGAUUUCCACUUAAAAAAAACUGACAAUUGUCAUUUCUAGGAUCUUAUUAGUCAAUAAAUUUGCCAUUCUGAUUUGCUUUAAUCCAAACUAAAAGUUGAAAUCAUUUUAACUUUCCAUACAGACAGAAGAAAAAAAACUGUAAAAAAUAGAAUAAUUAGAUAGCCAAUCAAAUUUUAGUAUUUUUCUUGUCCGCUUCAAUCUGUUUUGCUCUAAGUGGAAAUCCUCUUUAAGGAACUGCAAGGCUGCCUAAAAAUUCUGGUUCCUUAUAAAACAGAUAUAUAUAUAUAAGUACAUUAUUUUUUUUGUGCACCUAAUAUAUUGUAAUUUUUAUUUAAAAGUAUCUUAUUAGUAUAUGUUAUUAGUAUAUGUAAUUUAAACUGGAAUCUUACUUGACAUUUUAAUGUAAUUUUCUUUGCGAAUAAGUUUUAUUAGUAAUCUUUAAACAAAAUGUUUUUCAAA